rnacentral:rRNA from 1 species
GAUGAACGCUGGCGGCGUGCUUAACACAUGCAAGUCGAGCGAGUGAGUUCUUCGGAGCGAUCUAGCGGCGGACGGGUGAGUAACACGUGGGCAACCUGCCUCAUAGAGGGGAAUAGCCUCACGAAAGGGAGAUUAAUACCGCAUAAAAUUAUCGAGUGGCAUCACAUGAUAAUCAAAGGAGUAAUCCGCUAUGAGAUGGGCCCGCGGCGCAUUAGCUAGUUGGUGAGGUAACGGCUCACCAAGGCGACGAUGCGUAGCCGACCUGAGAGGGUGAUCGGCCACAUUGGGACUGAGACACGGCCCAGACUCCUACGGGAGGCAGCAGUGGGGAAUAUUGCACAAUGGGGGAAACCCUGAUGCAGCAACGCCGCGUGAGUGAUGAAGGUCUUCGGAUUGUAAAGCUCUGUCUUUGGGGACGAUAAUGACGGUACCCAAGGAGGAAGCCACGGCUAACUACGUGCCAGCCGCCGCCGUAA